GACGUAGGGCGCGAGCGUUGUCCGGAUUUAUUGGGCGUAAAGAGCUCGUAGGCGGCUUGUCGCGUCGACCGUGAAAACUUGGGGCUCAACCCCAAGCCUGCGGUCGAUACGGGCAGGCUCGAGUUCGGUAGGGGAGACUGGAAUUCCUGGUGUAGCGGUGAAAUGCGCAGAUAUCAGGAGGAACACCGAUGGCGAAGGCAGGUCUCUGGGCCGAUACUGACGUGAGGAGCGAAAGCGUGGGGAGCGAACAGG
rnacentral:rRNA from 1 species